AGAACUCCAACUGUGUGAGAAGUGCUAUAACAAGGCCAACCCCACAGGCUGCCCACAUUUUACUUCUAGUCACAGUCUGUUGCAACCUACCCUGCAUGCUAAAGACAACCCUGAAAUAAAGAGCAUCGUGAUGCCUUUCUGAACCAAAGGGGAUUCACAGAACCCACCUGAGAAGGCUGUCGUGAACACGAAGUGAGACUAGAUGUGUGCAGAACAGCUACAGAAAAAUACACGAGACAAGCAACCCACCCCGGGAGGUGACUGACAAGUUGGGCCAAGUGCACAGCACCAGUCUCUGUGCGUCCAUAACUCCUGAGCCGCACAGACCCCUGAGGACCCCGCAAGGCAGCAGAGAGCCAUAAAUCCAGCAAGCGGGAG
rnacentral:lncRNA from 1 species